UACGUAGGGGGCAAGCGUUGUCCGGAAUCAUUGGGCGUAAAGCGCGCGUAGGCGGCCCGGUAAGUCCGCUGUAAAAGUCCAGGGCUCAACCCUGGAAAGCCGGUGGAUACUGUCGGGCUAGAGUCCGGAAGAGGCGAGUGGAAUUCCUGGUGUAGCGGUGAAAUUCGUAGAUAUUCGCAAGAACACCAGUGGCGAAGGCGGCUCACUGGUCCGGUACUGACGCUGAGGUGCGAAAGCGUGGGGAGCAAACAGG
rnacentral:rRNA from 1 species